UUGGAAUGAAACUGAUAUGUAUAGAACACUUUUGUAUGUUAGAAUUGAAGCCUUGGUUUGGAAGAUUAGCAAGAAUUUAUUAUUUUGAGGCACUUUUGUCACACCCCGGAGCCGAUUUUAAAAGCUUUUUUAUAAAGAAUACUAUUUUAGAAAUGAGAGUUGCAGAAAACAUACCUUUUUUUUUUUAAUUCAAUCUGGCGCACGUGACGUACAGACCCGCCACAAAUACAAAGCCUCUCUGGCCACACGGACAGAGUCUUCUUGUAUUUGCACGGCGUACAAACAACAACAUCAGGAUCACAACAACAACCUACAUUUACCAAUCCACAAGCAAUUUAUGUGAUGCAUUUCCAUACAGCUAGCGAUCUUUAGAUAUGAUGCAUGGCUCUAAACACUUCUUAGGUACUGGAUGAUGCGAUGCACAAUACAACAGUCAUCCUAUUUAAAAGUGCUCCCCACCCGGAAGAUUUAUUUUUAAACUCUAUUUAAUCAUCCAUAAAACCAUUCGAAAAUCUUUUUAAAAUAGUUUCCCACUCAGAAACUCCAUUUUGAAAACUGACUACCUCAAGGGGUAGAAAACCAUAAUAAUAAACACGUAAAGCCAAAACCAAAUAUUCAUAAAUCUCCAAUCGCAAGCAUAAUGGAAAACAUUAACUCAUACAAGUUCACGAACAUUCAAACAGUAAUAGUAAUAAUCUAACUGAACCAUUUAAUUAUUUACAUUACUAAAUGCAUAAAUAAAAACAUAACCAGGAUGACGGUCGCUACUGCAGUCUAGCUAGUACGUCCUCCCGUCGCGCCAAAAGCCAACUCCUUGCCCGAGCGUACCUAGGAAAAUGGGGGGUGAGAAACCACAAUCAAGGUUUUCCAAUGGGUACAACAGAGCCACGAAGGCAAAUCGUAUUCACUAAAAAACAAAGGAGAUAGAACAAUAGAUAGGUAUAUGGCAUGAUAUAAGAACAACUACAAUAGUAAUAGAAACAAGAUAGUAAAUGAGCAAGAAUCAAACUACCACUGUAACAAAACUCAACUGAACAAAUGCCUCAAGGGUAAAUAAUCCAAAAUCAAACCCAAUCUGGUGUCUACCAUAUUGGUCCGCAGACCUCAAGCGUUGC
rnacentral:lncRNA from 1 species